rnacentral:rRNA from 1 species
AUUGAACGCUGGCGGCAUGCCUUACACAUGCAAGUCGAACGGUAACAGGUCUUCGGAUGCUGACGAGUGGCGAACGGGUGAGUAAUACAUCGGAACGUGCCCGAGAGUGGGGGAUAACGAAGCGAAAGCUUUGCUAAUACCGCAUACGAUCUCAGGAUGAAAGCAGGGGACCGCAAGGCCUUGCGCUCACGGAGCGGCCGAUGGCAGAUUAGGUAGUUGGUGGGAUAAAAGCUUACCAAGCCGACGAUCUGUAGCUGGUCUGAGAGGACGACCAGCCACACUGGGACUGAGACACGGCCCAGACUCCUACGGGAGGCAGCAGUGGGGAAUUUUGGACAAUGGGCGCAAGCCUGAUCCAGCCAUGCCGCGUGCAGGAUGAAGGCCUUCGGGUUGUAAACUGCUUUUGUACGGAACGAAAAGACUCUGGUUAAUACCUGGGGUCCAUGACGGUACCGUAAGAAUAAGCACCGGCUAACUACGUGCCAGCCGCCGCAGUAAAAC